GCCGCUGGGAACGUUCAAAUCCCGUUCUGCAGUUUUAAGUUUCAAGGUGAGCCUAUGAAAUGUGCAGUGACGCCGAAAGUCAAGGGUAAAAAUGUGUGUGCAUGAAGGAUCGUCGGACUGCAGAAAGAAACUCUCGCUAUCAACACGAUCAACACAAAACAAAAACGCGAUCAACACUAGUGACGUGCGUCUUGAUCCCGGAAUCAAGAUGAGGUCUUUAUAGUAGACAUGUUGAGUGGAAGUGAUGAUAAUUGUGAGUCCUCAGUACUUCUCCAAUCAUCCGUCUCAGGAAGGUUGUGGAAACUUAUUGUUCAACGUCAGAGAGUGCUGAACAGUUUGAAACAAAAAGUACUCAACGUGAUUUCCAAGACAGAAGAGAACCAAGCCGGGUUGUACGUGGUUCGUUCGUUCGCGAGCGAUGUAAUGAACAUUCGAUAUGCAACGGCCAAGACAGCUAUGCAAGGUGUGCCGGGGACAUUCUUUCACAUGAAGUGUCGGCAGUGUGUAACUGUGAUAUACCUGUACCUUAUUUCUUUUAGUCUGGGCAUACAACUCCCACCUCAGUCAUAAGAAAGUAGCUGCAAUUAUUGUUUUGCUAAAAGCACCAAAGUGGCUGUGAUAAAUUAUGUGUCGAUAUGAAUAGUUAAUGUACGAUAUGUGUACAAAGGAUGUUGCACGAGACAGUGACCAUCAAUUAUUGCAAAAAAAACUACGUGAGCUAAAAAUUGAAAACGUUCUGCAUGACACUUGUGAGGGUUUUUGUUCCGAAACAGUGGUUUUCUAUGAGUGUGCCUCGGUGCCAUUUCACUCACAAAUACAGGAUGUUUCGCGACGUUUCUACAAAAAUUUGGCACCCAAAAACACCGAACAACCGCCUGAAAAACCUUUCCGUGACAAAAUAAUGAGUUCAAUUAAGAUAAUUAGCCUAAUUAUUGAGUACUCUCAUGCAAACCGCCUGUUUGGGUGGCAAAAAGCUUCAAAGUGCCGUGCAGUAGGUUUCGAAUUUUUAUCUCACGUAAUUUUUUUAAAAAUAAUUAAGGGUGACUCUGUCGUGCAAAUACCCUAUACUAUAUAUGAUGACAAGCGUUUCAUAAAUGUUGCUGCACUGUGAUUUGCUGCGUACCUUGCAAACUCCUCAAUAAAUUGUUUUUCAAUAUAUA